rnacentral:lncRNA from 1 species
CGGAGAUCACAAAGUAGGCAGAGAGAGGAGGAAGCAGACUCCUGCUGAGCAGAAAGCUCAAUGUGGGGCUCGAUCCCAGGACUCUGGGAUCAUGACCUGAGCUGAAAGCAGAGGCUUUAACCCACUGAGCCACCCAGGUGGCCCGAGAAGGAGACUAUCUUAAUCCACUCAGUGUUCGCUGAGUUUUUUAAUGUGAUAAAAGUCAUGUUAGGUUUUGUCUUUUUGCCAGUGGUGGGUACCUUUUCUUACCCAGGCAGUCCCCUUACAGAGGCUUCCUCAUUCCUACUUUCCAUUUCACCUGGAGAUGUGACAUCUAUUAAAGAUGUUCAGUCAUAUAUCAUGUGGGAGAGUUAUUACUAGAGACAUUCCCCAUACCAGAAAGUCUUACCUCAGGAGGUGCCUACACCUUUCCCAGUACUAGAUAAGCCCUACUCGGAAGGGUUCUUUGGUAUUUUCCUGCCUUGUGUCAACCCCCUUUAUGCUUCCCAGAUCUUGUGUGAGAGGUAGUCCUGUGGAGUUUGCUUAGCACUGGACCAUGCUUUGAAGUUAUUUAAAGGGCUGUUAGAGGAAGUUCCUUGGUUUUCCCUGAUGAAAGAGGAAGUUGGCAGAAGAAUGGCGAAAGGCAGGGAUCUUACUGAAAGGCCACCCCAUUAGUGAUAAGGAUUCUCCAUCUUCUACCUCAUUACCUAUCUGGUGGAAUGGCUGCAGAAGAUGAGAUCCACAACCUGCACCAGCACCUGAGGGAAAUUCUUUUCAUCAAUGACUGCCUUCAAGAAAAGCUGGAACAUCAUCUCAGCAUUUCUGACCAAGGAAACGGAUGCACGUCUAACCUUAACAGGCAGAGCUUGGAGUCUGCUUCCCAGCUGUACAAUGAAAACAGAGGUAUCAGGGAAGAAAGUCUGAGCCUUCUGGCUCACCUGAAUCAUAUUUCCAGAGGUAAGUGGUCAAAACCCACGAGACGGUCACUCUUAGCCUUUUUGUCUCUUGCCGUACCCAGCUAUAAAAACAAAAAAUUUUCAGGAGGCCACAGCUACCCAAAGUCUCAUGACUCACAAUUCUCAAUCUACAGAGGGAUCCCUCCUAGGUGCUCCCUCUACAAGUCCCCAGACUCCAGGCUCCAGGAAGGAGUACCUCUGAGAAAUGCAUCAUUUUAGGUAUAAACCACACCUCACUAAUGUGAGCCUGAGAAGAAAAGAACAAUCCUCAAAGGUGAGAAGACAUAAGAAAACAAUAAUUUUAAUUGAGUAAAAUUUGCCAAGAUUAGAUAAACUCUGUCUUAGAAUGCUGAAAGAACAAGCAAACAGAAUUUAGAUUCUAAGUCAGUAGUCUUUGAGGAAAUGUGAGGACCAGAAAUGAGUUUAAAAGGAGCAAAACCCCAAUUUUGAAACGGAUGAAAAUAGGGCAGUUAAAAAUUGAGAUAAGUGUAGCUUAUAUUGAUCCUUGGCAAAAUACAAAUUCAUUGCACUAAAACGAUAAUAUUCCAGUCACCUUAUGGUUCCCAGCUCGUACUAUUGAGAAAAGUCAAAUCAAACCAAAUUACCCUCAGGUUGGCAAAAAUAUUCACAAACCUGCAAAAUAUCUUCCACCUGUGCCCUA